GUGCUUGCUUCAGCAGCACAUAAACUAAAAUUGGAAUGAUGCAAAGAAGAUUAGCAUGGCCCCUGUGCAAGGAUGACAUGCAAAUUCAUGAAGAAUUCCGUAUUUUU